GACGAACGCUGGCGGCGUGCUUAACACAUGCAAGUCAAGGGGGCCCAGCAAUGGGCAACCGGCGAACGGGUGCGUAACACGUGAGCAACCUACCGAACUGUGGGGGGAUAGCCGGCCUAAACGGCCGAGUAAUACCGCAUACGCUCUCAGAGAGGCAUUUCUUUGAGAGGAAACCUACGGGACAGAUCGAGGGGCGUCGCGGCCUAUCAGCUAGUUGGCGGGGUAACGGCUCACCAAGGCAACGACGGGUAGCUGGUCUGAGAGGAUGGCCAGCCACAUUGGGGACUGAGAUACGGGCCCAGACUCCUACGGGAGGCAGCGAGUGGGGAAUUUUGGACAAUGGGGGGCAACCCUGAUCCAGCCAUGCCGCG
rnacentral:rRNA from 1 species